GAAGUGGAGCAUGGAAACUUAACUACUACACCACUGGGCCAGCCCUGGGAUGAUUUUUUUUUUUUAUUACUGUUGCAUAUAUCAUUGCAAAACCCAAGUAUAUCAGAUAAACAAUUAUCUGAAUAAAGUCUAUAUUAAAUUCUGAAAUCAUAUUGAAAUAUAUCAUUUUAGGAGCCUUGCAUGAUUUUUCAAUUCCAUGUUUUUUUGCUGUAUGGUACCUGGCUGAGUCACUUGGAAUACCCAAUAUCUGCCUAAUAGGUGCUCUGUUUGUGGUUAUCUGGUAAUUCCUAGAAGUUUGGGGAAGGAAUUUAUUGUUGCAAUUUUGAAUGAUGGAAUGUCAAGCCUCCUCUUAUUUCUUGUGAUAAUAGAGGAUGAUGUAAUCAUAAAUAUGUCCAUCAAUGAUAAUAGUGAAAUCUUACACAGCUGAUUCAGUUCAUAAAAGCAUGAAAUGUGGACACUAAUACAGUUUUCUGGUAUUUUUCUUGUUCUGGAAAGAUGCUACCAUUUUGGCAUACUGUCUCAGGAUGCAGUAAGUUAUGAGGAAGCUUCUACUACCCGUGUGUCGGCUCCUUUGUCUGGUGGGCACAUUCUAGAACAGUGUCUUUCCCAAGUUGCCAAGUUGUAUAAAAGCUCUCAGUUUUGUACACAUCUUUUCCUGACUUAUCAUUAAGCCAUACUGCCAUGCUCUCUCUAAAAUAGCUAAAAUCUCUUCUAGCUAUUGCCAGCGUUUCUUAUGUCCUUCUCUCUCAGAGUAAUACAUCCACAAGGAUAGUUGUUUUUCCCUUUGUUAAAUCUUUUGAGCAUUUUCUUUCUACUUCCUUUGCCACUGCUUAGGCUAAGACCCUUGUAACCUACUACUCAGUUUAUCAAGAGCCCAUUAACAGGAUUUUCUGCUCAGUCUAUUACAACAUUCCAUGCAAGUUGUUCCCUACAUCACGGUCCUUCAGUUGUCUCCCAGUGCCUGUACCACAUUUACUGUCUGCCUGCCCAGUCUAAUUCUAACUUAUUUUUCCAUCUUUAUUGUUCAUAAUGUCGUUACACGAACCAUCGAUUCCCAGUAAAUUGGUUCACUAGAACAUGCCAUGCAGAGUCUAGACUGUCACCAUGCUUUUGGUUAUUCAAUACCUCUUUCUAAAAUAUCUUAAUUCUUCCCAUCCUUCAUGGCUAACCUCAAGCCUUAUCUCCUCCAUAAAGUCUUUCUAAAUCCAUCAUUGCUGGCCUAACAAAAGCUGCAUUCAUAAUAGGCUUUAAAUAAAAUAAUGUGGGAGACUAACUGAAUUUAUAACAUAGAAAGUGGUCAAUACAUUUGAGUUUCCUUACCUCCGCACUUUUCAUUAUAUGUCUCAGGAUGAUGAUGCAUUUCUAGUUUAACCUUGUAGGUGACUAUCUCAAGGACUUUUGAAGACUCUUAGAGCCCUACACGUAAUGUGCGAAUUACAGUUAGUCUAAAAGUGGAAACUGGAUUGAUUAAAAUUGCAUUACCUGGGUGAGGAUGUGAGGGCUGAGUGGACUCAGUGCUCUCAUGGAGUGUGGUGAUUCUAACUCAUAAAGUUGAAUUUAAUGAGUAACUAUCAAACACAUACCUGUGUAUUGUACUUAACAACUUUAUAGGGUCAAUAAAUACAGAACAUUAUCUAGGAGUAUCAGUCUUUUGCCUUCAAGCAAUCUGAGCUAUACAUGACAUUUAAACAUAAUGUCAUUGUAUAUACUCUCCUAGAUUUAUUGUUGAGUACUAGUCUACUACCAUUUAUCUUUCAUGAAAAAAUAUUUAUUGAAACUAGUCCCUGUCCUUGUUUUUUAUAUUUCUGAAAUUCAGAAUACCUUUUCUUUAUAAUUAUUCUUUUGUCUAUUGUGUUUUUUUAUACCAAAUAUGUUUCUCAACCACUAAGUUUAAAAUGUAUGCAAUUAGUUUGAACCUUUGUAUUAAAUCCCAGAUAUCAAUGAUGGAUAUUUUUAAUGUAAUAAAACGGAGAAAAAUGAACAUUCACAGCCUCCCUUUUCUUCAAAUAGGAUGAUUCCCGUAAAUAUACUGAGACAUGCAGUUGGGGUGGUAAGGGUGGUGUUUUGUUUUCAGUGCGGAAGAAAGAGAUCACAACCUAGCACCGAGGAUGAUUCAUACAGUGCAGUGUUUCCAAGAGCUCCACGGUCAUGUUUAUAGCAACUGAGUGUAUCAAGGUUCUCAAGGAAAAUGAGAAACUAAGCACAACUGGUGGAGUGUGAAGCCCAAGAUUGGUUAAAUCUCCUCCGGCCGGCAAGAGAGUUACUACCCCAGACUCUCUCCCCGGCUCACUGCGGGGAUUGUUCUCGAUUUGGUGGCCUGCAAGUAACCUAGACGAGAAAUACCUUUCCCCCCCUGCUCUGCAACUGACAAAAGGGUCGGGAAUAUGGAAGAAUCUGAAAAAGGCCAAGCAAAGAAAAAAAAAAUCCCCCAAAUAUGGUGCUCUGUCACUUUACGGAUAUAUACGUCUUUUCAGUGGGUUGAUUUGCUUCUUUCAUCUCUCUUGUUUAGAAUGAAAGCUCAUUGUGCACAAGAAUGUCAUCCAUUAUAUCUCAAACUGCUCUGGGUAAUUUUGAUGCUCAACUCAUGGUAAAAAAAAAAAAAUAGUCUCAGUGGUUGUGGCUUUAAUAUUAUCCAUGGGAGGGAAAGGUCAGAGUUAAAAGAAUCAUUAUAGAUUUUAAUUUUUGAAACAUAUCUUGAGAUGUAUUAUCGUUGUUCUAAAGUUGAAUUAUUUUUAAAAUCAAAUGAGAUGUAAUUAAAAUUACUUGGUUAAUAAAUAUUUUUAAAUAGCUACUCUAUCUUAGACAACUUUAGUUUUUCGGAAAACAACAUAAAAUAGCUCAAAAGAACAUUAAAACUUAAAGAUAACAGAGAUGGUAUUUUAAUACAUUUUUUGACUCAGCAUAUUGCUUUUUAUUUUAAUUCAACAUAAAUCAGUCAUGCCAAAAGUAAUUUAUAAUCCAUAUGAUAUCAAUGGAUAUCUCAUAACAUACUCUCCUUUAGAAUGAACACUUCUAAAAAAGCCAUAAAUUUCUAGACUGGAAGCGAAUCAUUAAGAAAUAUUUCUAUUGGUGGUGGUUUUUGUGUUUUGUUUGUUUGUUUGUUUUAUAAACACAUCUGUGAUCUGGCAGAAACCCUCCUAAGCACCAAGGUUCAUUAAGAGUGGUUUAGACAACACCAAGAUGUUCAAGGGCAGGGAGAGUGUGGAUGCUUAGAAUGGAUUCUGGGUUGGAAUUGGACAUUGAAGUCAGCAUGGAUCUCUUUCACAUUUUGUUUCUCUCCUGACAGAAACAUACCAUGAAACAAAGACAUAGUAGAAAGCAAAACAACCACAGGUCAGUCUACAUAGCCCUUACUUCUUUUCUUUAACAUAAAUGCCACUGUACAAGCCUUUUUAAAAAGGUAAAUGAUUAUGAAAACAAUUUAACUUCCUACAUUCCUCCUUUUGAAAUUAGGGAUUAUUCUGUCUCACUCAGUAAAGAUGCUCUGCUUUCAACGAGACAAACCCACAGUGUAACCUUUUGGAGAUCAUCUCAACAAAAUCUUCUGACAUAAUGUGGUAUUUUUUUCAGCUGCAGGCCUAUGUAUAACGCCUGUUAAUGCUCAUUACAUAGGAUAGGAGUUUAAGGCAAUAAAUGGACUGGACAUGUUUUAAAGCCCUUAGCCACUUCUUGACUUUGUUCUAAUUUAUUCUAAAUUGGAUAUGGAGUGAACAAUAUUGUCCUUUAUCAUUAUAUUUAAAUAUAAUAAUUUAUUUUUUACAACUUAUUACUCUGCAUAUGUCAUACGACCAAAUUUCCCCUUCUAUUACUGGAGCCAGCUUGUUGAAUUAGAGGCAGAGAUGGCUCCCAUUCCACAGACGUCACAACUUUGUUCUAGUUACAAUUCUUAUCUAAAAUAAACAAGCCGUUCUUCUUAUUCAAUUCUAGCUGUGAAAUUAAU